GGCUCAGGAUGAACGCUAGCUACAGGCUUAACACAUGCUAGUCGAGGGGCAGCAUGGUCUUAGCUUGCUAAGGCCGAUGGCGACCGGCGCACGGGUGAGUAACACGUAUCCAACCUGCCGUCUACUCUUGGACAGCCUUCUGAAAGGAAGAUUAAUACAAGAUGGCAUCAUGAGUCCGCAUGUUCACAUGAUUAAAGGUAUUCCGGUAGACGAUGGGGAUGCGUUCCAUUAGAUAGUAGGCGGGGUAACGGCCCACCUAGUCUUCGAUGGGUAGGGGUUCUGAGAGGAAGGUCCCCCACAUUGGAACUGAGACACGGUCCAAACUCCUACGGGAGGCAGCAGUGAGGAAUAUUGGUCAAUGGGCGAGAGCCUGAACCAGCCAAGUAGCGUGAAGGAUGACUGCCCUAUGGGUUGUAAACUUCUUUUAUAAAGGAAUAAAGUCGGGUAUGGAUACCCGUUUGCAUGUACUUUAUGAAUAAGGAUCGGCUAACUCCGUGCCAGCAGCCGCGGUAAUACGGAGGAUCCGAGCGUUAUCCGGAUUUAUUGGGUUUAAAGGGAGCGUAGAUGGAUGUUUAAGUCAGUUGUGAAAGUUUGCGGCUCAACCGUAAAAUUGCAGUUGAUACUGGAUAUCUUGAGUGCAGUUGAGGCAGGCGGAAUUCGUGGUGUAGCGGUGAAAUGCUUAGAUAUCACGAAGAACUCCGAUUGCGAAGGCAGCCUGCUAAGCUGCAACUGACAUUGAGGCUCGAAAGUGUGGGUAUCAAACAGGAUUAGAUACCCUGGUAGUCCACACGGUAAACGAUGAAUACUCGCUGUUUGCGAUAUACAGCAAGCGGCCAAGCGAAAGCGUUAAGUAUUCCACCUGGGGAGUACGCCGGCAACGGUGAAACUCAAAGGAAUUGACGGGGGCCCGCACAAGCGGAGGAACAUGUGGUUUAAUUCGAUGAUACGCGAGGAACCUUACCCGGGCUUAAAUUGCAGAUGAAUUACGGUGAAAGCCGUAAGCCGCAAGGCAUCUGUGAAGGUGCUGCAUGGUUGCCGUCAGCUCGUGCCGUGAGGUGUCGGCUUAAGUGCCAUAACGAGCGCAACCCUUGUUGUCAGUUACUAACAGGUCAUGCUGAGGACUCUGACAAGACUGCCAUCGUAAGAUGUGAGGAAGGUGGGGAUGACGUCAAAUCAGCACGGCCCUUACGUCCGGGGCUACACACGUGUUACAAUGGGGGGUACAGAGGGCCGCUACCACGCGAGUGGAUGCCAAUCCCCAAAACCUCUCUCAGUUCGGACUGGAGUCUGCAACCCGACUCCACGAAGCUGGAUUCGCUAGUAAUCGCGCAUCAGCCACGGCGCGGUGAAUACGUUCCCGGGCCUUGUACACACCGCCCGUCAAGCCAUGGGAGCCGGGGGUACCUGAAGUGCGUAACCGCGAGGAGCGCCCUAGGGUAAAACUGGUGACUGGGGCUAAGUCGUAACAAGGUAGCCG
rnacentral:rRNA from 1 species